rnacentral:rRNA from 1 species
UCAGGACGAACGCUGGCGGCGUGCCUAAUACAUGCAAGUCGAGCGCUUGCAACUUAAGCUUGCUUGAGUUGCCUGAGCGGCGGACGGGUGAGUAACACGUGGGCAACCUGCCUAUGAGACUGGGAUAACUCCGGGAAACCGGGGCUAAUACCGGAUAAUUCUUUUCUACACAUGUAGAAAAGCUGAAAGAUGGUUUCGGCUAUCACUCAUAGAUGGGCCCGCGGCGCAUUAGCUAGUUGGUGAGGUAACGGCUCACCAAGGCGACGAUGCGUAGCCGACCUGAGAGGGUGAUCGGCCACACUGGGACUGAGACACGGCCCAGACUCCUACGGGAGGCAGCAGUAGGGAAUCUUCCGCAAUGGACGAAAGUCUGACGGAGCAACGCCGCGUGAGUGAUGAAGGUUUUCGGAUCGUAAAACUCUGUUGUUAGGGAA